UACAGAGGGUGCAAGCGUUGUUCGGAAUUAUUGGGCGUAAGGGCGCGUAGGCGGUUCGGCAAGUCUCUAGUGAAAUCUCUGGGCUCAACUCAGAGUCUGCUGGGGAAACUGCCGGGCUUGAGUGUGGGAGAGGGAGAGUGGAAUUCCCGGUGUAGCGGUGAAAUGCGUAGAUAUCGAGAGGAACACCGGCGGCGAAGGCGGCCAUCUGGAC
rnacentral:rRNA from 1 species